rnacentral:piRNA from 1 species
CCUAAAGAUGUGGAGACCAGA